AAACCAGCACCUCAAGUGGUCAGGAGGAUUAUUGGGCCUAAAGCAUCCGUAGCCUGUUCUGUAAGUUUCCGGUUAAAUCCAUUAGCUCAACUAAUGGGCUGCCGAAAAUACUGUAGAACUAGGGAGUGGGAGAGGUAGACGGUAUUCGGUAGGAAGGGGUAAAAUCCUUUGAUCUAUUGAGGACCACCUGUGGCGAAGGCGGUCUACCAGAACACGUUCGACGGUGAGGGAUGAAAGCUGGGGGAGCAAACCGGAUUAGAAACCCGGGUAGUCC
rnacentral:rRNA from 1 species